rnacentral:rRNA from 1 species
UACAGAGGGUGCGAGCGUUGUUCGGAAUUAUUGGGCGUAAAGCGCGUGUAGGCGGCGACGUAUGUCGGGUGUGAAAGCCCUCGGCUUAACCGGGGAAGUGCGCCCGAAACUACGUUGCUAGAGUGCUGGAGAGGGUAGUGGAAUUCCGGGUGUAGAGGUGAAAUUCGUAGAUAUCCGGAGGAACACCAGUGGCGAAGGCGACUACCUGGACGGACACUGACGCUGAGACGCGAAAGCGUGGGUAGCAAACAGG